AUUGAACGCUGGCGGCAGGCUUAACACAUGCAAGUCGAGCGAGCGGGGGACGGGUGAGUAAUGUCUGGGAAAGUGCGUGGUGGGGGGGGAUAGCUAGUGGAAACGGUAGCUAAUACCGCAACACAUCAGAUGGCCCCAUAUGGGAUUAGCUAGGGGGUGGGGUAACUGCUUACCUAGGAGACGAUCCCUACCUGGUCUGAGAGGAUGAUCAGCCACACUGGAACGUAGACACGGCCCAGACUCCUACGGGAGGCAGCAGUGGGGAAGAUUGCACAAUGGGCGCAAGCCUGAUGCAGCCAUGCCGCGUGUGUGAAGAAGGCCUUCGGGUUGUAAAGUACUUUCAGUCGGGAGGCGUUACCGACAGAAGAAGCACCGGCUAACUCCGUGCCAGCAGCCGCGGUAAUUC
rnacentral:rRNA from 1 species